UAAUUGCAAGUGCUGUAGAGCUCUAUGACGUCAUACACUCUGUGGCAGUUAUUUUCAGUCGGUAUAGUUAUGGCAGUUAGUAGAACAGUCUUAAUAGAGCAGCAGAUGUGUUGUGCUGCUGUCUGCCUCAGAGUUAGCCUAUGUAGGACGCAUUAGCAAUUUAAGAAACAUUCACCUGCAUUGUAUAUAUUUUAAUCGGCAACUGCAAAUACACUAAGAAAAUAGUGUUUGUUCUUUAAACUUUAAAAGAGAAUGUCUUGCAUAGUUUUUUAUAGGAGGGGGAAAAGAGAACUAAUUAAAGGAUCAAACGACCCAGGCCUAUCUUCUUCAUCCUCUGCAAAUGGGAAUGAGAGUCCAAUUCCCACAGUUCAGACAGUUUUGAACUAAUUCAGCAAACUCUGUGAAACUGAAUGAGUUAUCUCCUUCACCAAUAGACUUCUGACAACAGCACCUAAUAUAGUCACUAGGCUUCAGUUCAUCUUCUCAGCUAGGAAGUUGCCGCCGCCCACGACACAAGAUCAGUUUCAGAGAUGCUGUUGCCAUAACAACCAGGCUUUUUGGAUUCAUUCUCUCUCUCUCUCUCUCUCUCUCUCUCUCUCUCUCUCUCUGCUGAAUGGUUAGAAGAAAAGCAAUACCACAUCUGUAGCUGCAGUAACUCUUCCCCUACCCUCAUUUUCAGACUGAAACAGCAAAGCAGAUGCAAUUAUCUUGCAAGCUUUGAAUGAAAUGUACCAAAUAGCAGAGAGCAAGAAGCACCAUCUCAGGCUCAGGCAAUAUAGAAAUGCUUUAUUGUACAGUUUGGGAUCAACCUCACAGCUCUCUGACGGGGUGCAUUGCUAGUGGAAACUGAUAUUCUUCUGUUCAGCUACUGUGUAUCCAUCAUAUGCCACAAUUAAAAAAUAUUGCAUAUAGAUGGAACAAAUUUUCAUAGCCUCCAGUUGUCGAGCAGUGUUAAACAAAUCCCACAGAUUCAAUUGUACAGGUAUCAGAGGAAAAUAAUGUUCUAUUUUUAACACACCAGUCCCCAUUCAUUUUCCAUAAUCAGGAUUUUAGAGUACAGCUCCAGAUCCCCUUUCAGGUCUUAACCUGCUGAGCUUCUGCCUGCCCAACAGCUAUUAAGGACACCAGAACCUUUAUGAGUUAGCCUGUGAUAACCAGCAGGCCUUCGGGGGAAGAUGGGGAAAGUUCCCUACAGCUUAAAGGAGGGAAUGAAAAGCCAGGCUGGAAGGGGCACAAGUAUGUUCCUCUCAAUGGAAAAAGGACACAGUAGGUUCAAGGAUCUGAGCCAUGGCUCCGUUUCAACUUGUUUCCAGCCCUCCCAGAGAGAGGUUUGCUUCUCUACAGCACAGUGAAAACAAUGCAUCUUAAUCUUUAAGGACAUGGCUCCCCAUGAUCCCUUUGUGGGCAGGUGAGAGUGGGUGGGUAUCCCUGCUUGGUACCAGACAGUGAUACAUUAAGGUCAAAGACAGCUUUGCAGAUUGCUGGCAGGAUGGUGGCGGGGAGAGUCAUGCUCCUUCUUUGGCUCACAAGCUGUUUGUCUGCCAGGACUUCCAGAGACUUAAGAAAACUUUCCAAGAGCAGAGUUCGUCUGAGGCGUGUAUAUGCAGGGCUGGGAGAGAGAGGGAUACACAGACAAACAGACACACUCGGAAAUUUGGCCAUUCAACUCUACUCCUGGCUUAAGGCUGCCAAUGAUAUGUGUGAGAACAGAGCGCUCUCUGGUGGCUGCAAAGGGACACGUGAACCCAAACAAACAUUGGCUACGGGAUUGCAGAGUGUUGAAUGGACAUCCCAUAGAAGGCAUGGCCCUUCUACGGCUAUUGAAUAAAAAUGAUUUUUGACCAAUGCAGAGUUUACAUUGGAAGUUUGGGUGCAACUCAGCUUGCAGAAAGCCAUUCAUAUGGGGUUAAAAGAGACAGAAUAAAGGACUUCCAGAUUUGUAUACUAUGCCUGUACCUUGCACCUCUAUGGUGACCUCUCUAUCCUGUGAACCUUAGGUUGCAUCCUGUGAAUAGUGAGCUAUCCAGGUGCUCAAGAAUUGAAGGGGUGUUGGAAGAUUGGGUGCAGCUCAAUUUGCUUUUGUGUAACCUGUGUUGCAUCCAAAUUUUCAACAGAUUAUGACUUUGAUAUUAAGCCCGCUCCCCCUCUCCCAGUGCUCACCUCCUGCCUCCCAUAUUGCUUAACAUACAGCCAGAUGAAAAGUUCUAGUGAGUUCGAAACUUUACUCACUAUUCUGUGACGUUUUGGAUGCACUAAAAAUGCUGAAAGCUGUCCAGAUAAAAGUGGCACUCUAAACCUUUGCUAUGUGUUUAAACCUGCCUCUUCCUCCACUUGGCUUAUUUGGCAUGCAGUGGAUCAGAAAAUAGCACACCGGCAGAUGACAUUAUAGUCCUUCAUCUGUUCUGAAAAAAGUGGUGGCGCUUUGUUCCUGCCUGUACUGGCUUCUGCCCAACACACGCAGACAGAGGCUCUUACUUGUAAGUAAGGAAGAGAUCCUUGUUCAGGAAAGUGAAGGUACAGGCUCGGCAGCAGAUACAGUGCCGAGGAGUCAUGGAUCAAGAGUUGAGGGGCAGGGCAGACAGCUUAGAACUGGACAAAAGUUAUGAGGCUGUCCCAACAAGUUUCACCACCCCUUCGACCAGCUUUGAAAGAUGAGGUGUGGCCUUAAGAGAAUGUCUAGAUUGAAAGUGCAUGCUCCAUCUGCAAAGGCAUUCCAUUGUUCAGACUCCUGUUCAGGCUCCCCUGCUCAUAGCUGAUCAAAGCCCUCCUCAGCCUCCAAUGAGGUUCUCUGUUCCAGAGGAAGGUCAUGGGGGAGCCAGUAUCCCUGCUUCCCCUUCCAAAGUGAUAGAAGUCAGGUUGGAAAGCAGAGAGCCCCACUCCUCCAACAGGUUCCCACCACUUCCAUUUCUUCCUCCUAUCGCAUUGGAGCCUGCCAGCACAAGCUCAAUCACAUCAGGGCUCACAACACAGCCUGCCUCUGCUCCACUCCAUCCCUGCUUCCCAGAGCUCUACAGGAAACUGUUCAGGAUUAGGCUAGGGCAGGGGCAGGUGGAGACAGUAGAGCUGGGUGUCAGCGGCAGCUCCUUCAGCUCCUUUGAAUUCUUUUGCAAGCCUUACUCAUAAAGGGCUCAAGCUUCUGUGAGUGCUUAAGUCCAUUCUCCAUUUUACACAUAAAGUUAUUGCCCCAAUGGAAACCACAGCCCAAUAGUAUGUCAGUCUCUUGGUAGCUGGGGGUUCUGGUUUCUGGGAGAGGGACAGCAUUGCAAGGCAAAUGGAAUGACACUUGGCAUGAAAAUCUGCCAACAGGGAGGUCUCCUACCACCAGGAAUAAGUGCACAGCAGCUGUUUUCUAGGUCAUGCUCCCCGCAACUCAAAGAACAAAUAUGUAAUGAAAAACUACCAGCAGAGAUUUUUCCAAGGCACUAGUUCCAGGUACAUGACUUUCAGAAAGCUUUUCCUUGUUCAGGAUAUUCCUUGACUUACAAAAUCACGGAGAAGCUUUAGGACUGUAGCCAGAAGAGGAAUGAGUCAUCUGUAAUAGAAGAACUCGUCUGAUUUAUACACUAUCAGAGAUAUCCAUUAUGGCUUUGACCUUUCCUGCUGUCUUGCAAAGAACAUUAGCAUCAAUCGCAUGGCCCAGAUAAUCUGCAGUGCUGGAAGCGGUCACAUUUGUCCUUGCAAACUUUCCUUCUUUGGGCUUUCUGAGGCAGAGGUGGAGAAACUCUGGGCGGUGGGCCGAGUCAGGCCUCCCCAUUCCUGCCUUGGACUCCUCCGAGCAAAGGGCAGGCUAUAAAUCAAAGAAAUGAGGAAAUAUUUGGCUUGCUAGGACAUCUGAGCAAAGCCACACAACUUGCCCUACACCUGACGUCUGAAUGGGGUGGGCACAGGUAAGUAAAGUUGUGAUUGAACCAGGAAGACAUUUGCAGGAUGCUUUGAAGUCCUGUUGGUCGGCAGACUUGCAAGCACCAGCAAUCAGCUGAUUAUCUGAAGAGAGUCUUGCCAAGCCUAAGGCUCAACUAUUAGCUAGAUCGACUGGAGGAAGUAGCUCUGGUUGUUCACCUAUAAUUCACCUAAACAAAAUAUGUGGCUUGUGACUUGGCUCCUGGUUAAUAAGGAGUCUGCUCCUGCAUAGAUAUCUGCAAAAUUUGGGAUGGGUGGGUUAAAACCUGCAAUAAUUCCCUGGAAUACAAAAAGAGGGGCACAUUUAAUCUCCAGCAAUUAGCAGAGACCACUGAAAUGUGCUUUUAUGCAAUCAAAACAAUGCAUUGUGAUACUAAAAACAGGCUGCUUUAUUGAUAGCUAUCCUGUUUUUUUGAUGUUCUUAGAAGAUUCUUUCUGCAACAUGAUACCCAGGCCUCUUCCAUAUUUCUGUUAUCUGAAGCUCUCCCCAAUGUAGAUGGCCUAAUUUGAGAUGCAAUGCUCUCACUUCAGUAGGGACAGUUUCCAUAUGAUGGACACAUUCGUGGAAUUCCUUGCCAUAUUUCACAGGAACAAGAAGUGCAAUAACUGCUGUGACCAAACAGGCUUGUGAUGACCCCUCCAGCCUUGUACAUCUGAUGGUAUGGGAAAGGAUGGGGCAAUAAACUAUGCAAUCAAGUAGGCAAUGAAUGGAAGGUGGAUAAACUGAUUUUUGCUUUCCGCAUGCACACCCAAUUGCAAACACAUGUGCCAGCAGGCGAGCACAAAACAGGCAAGACUUCUGGCGAUUCCUACAAGCCAGGAAUUGCCUUAAGCAUGGGAAACGUUUACUUCUUGUUCUUUCCGUGUAAAUUUCCAAUCUCGUCUUGGAAUUUGCCUACCUUCUGGACUUAAGUAGCAAACUGCAUUGUCCUUCUCUAUGGAUUUUCACAGCACAAUUGGAUGGAAGAUAC